GGCUUCUUUAGAUAUUAUGAUGGAAAUAUUCUUCAAGGCGGCAUGCUUGGCUUAGUUUAAUAUCCUAAAUGCACUACAGAGCUUGCUUAAUUUCCUCCUUAGAUAUGCAGCCAUCCGAUGCUGUCACUGUAUCUCUGUGUUGCUGGUGGGUUGGGGUGGAGAAUAUUGCACUGGCAUUGCUGAAUAGCUUCUCUGUGCACGGCGCUGAGUUUUGUGUGUGUGUGUGUGUGUGUGUGUGUGUGGGUGAGGGAACGUGUGUGAGACAUGAGCAUGACUCACUCUGUAUUUUCUAUUGACUCGACAAGCCUGCGUCACUGACUAUCUCAUAUGAACUGAAUCCAAUAGGAUAACUACUUGCAAUCGCUCUUGGCUAAGACAAGUGUGUGUGUGUGUCAGUGUGUUUGAAGUAUUUGUUCACGAAGAUAGGUCUGGAUAACUGUAUUUACAAUGCAGUCUUCUGGUUUGUGUGUCAGUGUAUAGAAAAUGACAUUAUUCGUGGAGCGGAGGCGUGCGGGCUGAGCCGGAUCCUGAAUGCUGCACUGACAAUGAAGCUUGGAGGGACUUCAAGGUCACACCGCAGAGAGCUCUGUGAAUGAGAAAGUGAGAGGAAGAAAAAGAGAAGGUGGGGGGAGAACUGUGAGAGCAAAGCGAGCUGGAGGCAAAACGCCGAUUCGCCAUGCGAUGCUUGCAUAUCAAGUUGCUGCCCUGUGUCCAAAUUAAGAAGGCAAGAGAACAUCGCAGUCACCGAGCCAUGGAGUGACAGGUAUUCCCCGUUCCUAUAUUAUCUCGACUAUUUGCUCAGACUAGUGGAGCAGAACACCCCUGUGCAUCUUGCUCGCUCUUUCAAAUCAGCCUGACUCCACUGUUCCGGAUUCCUGCCUUCCUCCCAUCGACCUUCCCACAGGUAACACUCCUGGACUGAACUCAAGGCAAACAAAGCACGCUCUGUCCAGAUUCAUCUGAGAAAAGGGCAGCACUUUCACUGACUAUUCGAGCACCAUGGGCGCUGCAUAAUUGCACUGACUAGAGAAGUUUCACAGCAACGCUGGGUAAGGAAUAAAACACUUCAGGGUGCACUGUAUUAGGAAAAUAAUCACUGACGGUUUGGUGCAUCGUGAAGAACAGGAGUUGAUAAUUUUCCAAUAGCAGCACAUCCUAAAGUCUUUUAUUUCUCUUCCAGUGAUUUCAAACAACAUGUCAUACUUUGAUAACAUUUGGUUAUGACAAGUUAGGGCAUGUACUAAUCAUGAACUAAUGAAGCGCUAACCUUAACUACGAUGUAAGUCUUAUGAACUCAUGUGUGAAUAACGACCACCUUAAGUACAUGUUAGUAAAUGUUUGUUAGUUAAUGUAUUAAUUAACAUGUAGGAUAAAUGAAAUCAAACAUGCACUAUAAGAAACAAUAUAAAUAAAACAUGCAUAAUGCAUGUACACACAAACAUCAUUGGAUGGGGUUGGAUUACUUGAAUAAUUUACACUGACCCUCCACACUCAUAAUAAACAUCAAUAAUUUCAUCUCAGUGCCAUCCAGUGAUGUUUGUAUAUUUAGCUGCAUAUGGCAAAUUAUGUAAACAAUUUGAAAUUAUGCAUGUUUAAUUCAUAUUGUUUCUUAAAAAGCAUGCUUGAUUUAAACUAAUGCGCUUCAUUAGUUUGUGAUAAGUACAUGCCUUAAAUCAUCAUAAGUUCAUAGUUAAGUAAGUAUUAAUUCAGGUAUCAGUGCAUGAUUAUUAAUGUAUUGUUAUUAUAAAGUGUCACCCAUACCUUUGUCAAGUUACAGUUUUACUUAAUGUUGUUGAACAUCCAUAAGACAGUUUAGUUCCUAUUAUCUGUCAAAUCAAAGCAAACCAGUGACUACAUUUCCCAGCCUGCACUGCAGCCUACAAACAUGGCCGCCAUGGACUGCAAUUCCCAGAAACACUCACAUUCAUUCUAAUCACGCACACCUGCAUCAAAUACACAGCACUCACAUCCACAGUAUAAAGGGACUGUUUGAACACUAUGACUUUGCAAAGUAUUGAGUGUUAUCACCGUACCAUGCGUUUGUAUUGUUUCAUGUUUGUUUUGUUUCAUGGUCGUUGAUCUUGUUUCUUCUUUCAUGUUCUCGAUUCUCGCCUUGCCUCGUUUAUGCCUGUUUGCAGAUUUCCUGACCCAUUACCUGUUUUUGACCACAAUAUUGUUUCAUGAUUUGGAUUUGUCUGCCUACAUCUCUUUAUUAAAAGCUCUUAUCUGCACUUGCAUCUGUCCUAACCUCCAUUACGUUAUUAACGUGACAUUAUCACUUAUCACUUAUGUUAUAGCAGCUAAACAGUUCCUCAGCAUCCUUUCUUUUACACUCUCUUCACAUUAGUAAGACAAAAAAAUGCAGCUUGUCGUCUUGCAGAGAAACCAGUAACUGCAAAAUCCUCUGCCCUGACUCCUUCCAUAAUUAUUCAAUAAACCUCUUCUUAAGGAUAUUUUUCUGUCAUUAAUUGUACAUUUUAUAUGUACAUUACUAUGUUUAAUGGGUAAUGACACUUAUUAUACACUCAUUUGUUUAUUAAUGUGGCACAUCAACCAUGCAAACCUGAGAUUUGAUUUACUACUGUCAGAGCAAUGCUGUUAUACAAAAUUAAUCAACAAUUGAACAGCACCAUGGUAUAAAAAUUAUUAUUCUGUAUGACUAUUUGUACAUGUUAAGGAUAAUGGGAAAGUACCGCAUUUGUCAUGAAAUGAGUUCUGUUAUGGAAGGGUG
ensembl:lncRNA